UAAACCUUCACAAAAAAAGUUGCUCUUAAAAUUAGAAAAAAUAGGAUAGUGAGGAAGAAUAUUCGACUCCUAAGCUUAACCCUUCUUUUAAGAUAUUCUCUCACUUAACCUUAGUUUACUAGAAACUUGAGCAGUAAAAAACUGUGUUUUAGUCGGUUUAGAGUUAGAUACGACGUCUUUUUACUCGCUCAAUAAAAUCUCAAAUCACCUGAUUUUCACCCCUUCGUUCAAACAACGCAGAAAUAUACCAGCCAUUUUUCAAUUUCUAGGGUUUAUACUUUCCAAUUCCUAAUCAAAUUCACAAUUAAAAAAUCUCUUCAAAACUUUAAUUUUUUCUAGAUUCUUAUGAAUUAAUGCUAGGGUUUUCUUUGAGUUUUGAAUAAUCUGAAUAAAAUCCCCAAAUUUUGUUGAAUUUGGAGAGAGAAAAAGAGGAGAGAGAAAGUGAUUCGUAAUGCAGACGGAAGCGAGGGUAGGAGUAGUCGUUGAUGGAGGACAAAGAGAUGGAUGUGCGCGUAAAUACGUACAGGUGAAGCAACAACAAAAAGCCCAAAUUGGGACGGUUUCUCAGCUUCUUGCCGGCGGAAUUGCCGGCGCCGUUAGUAAAACUUGCACCGCACCGCUUGCUCGUCUCACCAUUCUUUUUCAGGUGCAAGGCAUGCAUUCAGAUGUAGCAACAUUGAGGAAAGCUUGCAUCUGGAGGGAGGCUUCACGAAUUAUGCACGAGGAAGGAUUAAGAGCUUUCUGGAGAGGAAACUUGGUUACAAUAGCUCAUCGCCUUCCUUAUUCCUCCGUCAGUUUCUAUUCAUACGAACGAUACAAGAAUCUUCUGCAGUCAUUUCCUGGAUUAGAAAGUAGUAGUGAAAGUAUAGGUGCACAUAUCUUUGUGCGGCUGACUGGUGGCUUUUUAGCUGGAGUAACAUCUGCAGCUGCUACUUAUCCUCUAGAUUUGGUGAGGACACGGCUUGCUGCACAGACAAAUGUGACAUAUUACAAAGGUAUAUGGCAUGCACUACGUACCAUUAGUAAAGAAGAAGGUGUGCUUGGUCUUUAUAAAGGGCUUGGGGCAACCCUUUUGAGUGUGGGGCCAAAUAUAGCGAUCAGCUUCUCUGUAUACGAGACUUUGAGGUCUCAUUGGCAGUUGCAGAGGCCCCAAGAUUCCACUGUGCUUGUGAGUCUUGCUUGUGGAAGUAUAUCUGGUGUUGCGUCAUCCACUGGUGAGCGAAUCUAAAUUUACGUUAAGAAGCUAAUAGUUUUGUGCAAGUUUGCACAUUUUUUUUGUUUUUAGCCAUCUACUUAUGUGUUAUCUGAACAAUUCGGAGCACCUGCUACUUUGACACGUCUAGGUGUUUGCACUUGACCGUUGAUCGUUAAUCUGGAGUGAUUUUUGACCUUACUUGAAUUCUUUUCCAAUGACAUGUGUGGCUGCCAAUGUUUGACAUUAACGAUUGUUCUUUUUUUUUUUUUUUUGUUUGUUUGUUUAUGCUGAAAACUGUCUACUGAAUUUAUUGUAGAGAAGGCCAGCAUGGAAGAGAAAUUUCUGGAUGACUAGUUAGAUAUUUUUAACUUCGUUGUUUAGAUACUCCUGCAUAUUGUGCAGAAGUUAAUUCUUCUAGUUAUUAUGCUUUUGAUGCAGAGAAACAGGCUGAGGUGCUGGCUCUGCACUAAUGUCUAACAAGACUGACACUAGAGCCAGGAACCAGGAAGUUGUUUAAUUUUUGCAAAUGAUUUUGCAGGGAAUUAGAUUAGAAUUUAUCUUAAAUUCCUAAAUCCUAAUACUUGAAUUUUAUUGACUCUUUUGAUUCAAAAGGGUCUUGCUUGGAUUAAUUUCAUCUUCAAAAGUCUAUCAAGCAUUGCAGUUGGUCCCUUUUCUAGGGAAGCACCAGUCUCAGAUGAUUUGAAACCUGUUCUCCUAUGCCAAAUGUGAGAGGCUUCCUCUUGUGAGCAAUAUUUCCCAUUGAUUUGGUAAGACGAAGGAUGCAAUUGGAAGGAGCUGGUGGUCAUGCACGUGUAUACAACACCGGUAUUUUUGGUACAUUUAAGCAUAUCAUCCGGAC